AGUAGGGCCUGCCCACUGAAUUUUUGAAGGGCCGCAGUAUCUUAACUGUGCAAAGGUAGCAUAAUCAUUAGUUUUUUAAUUGAAAGCUGGAAUGAAUGGUUUGAUGAGAAAGUGACUGUUUCAAUAUUAAUUUUUUAAAACUUUAUUUUUAAGUUAAAAAGCUUAAAUAUUUUUAAAAGACGAGAAGACCCUAUAGAGUUUAAUUUAAAAUUGAUUUUUAAAUUUAAGAAUUUAAAUUUUUAAUAGUGAAUUUUAAAUUUAAUUGGGGUGAUUAAAAAAUUAAAUUAACUUUUUUAUAUAAAUACAUUGAUAUAUGAAUUGUUGAUCCAUUAAAAUGAUUAAAAGAAU
rnacentral:rRNA from 1 species